rnacentral:rRNA from 1 species
CAGCAGCCGCGGUAAUACGGAGGGCGCGAGCGUUACCCGGAUUUACUGGGCGUAAAGGGCGUGUAGGCGGCCUGGGGCGUCCCAUGUGAAAGGCCACGGCUCAACCGUGGAGGAGCGUGGGAUACGCUCAGGCUAGAGGGUGGGAGAGGGUGGUGGAAUUCCCGGAGUAGCGGUGAAAUGCGCAGAUACCGGGAGGAACGCCGAUGGCGAAGGCAGCCACCUGGUCCACUUCUGACGCUGAUGCACGAAAGCUAGGGGAGCAAACAGGAUUAGAUACCCGCGUAGUCCCUGUCUCUUAUAC